rnacentral:rRNA from 1 species
GACGUAGGGCGCGAGCGUUGUCCGGAUUUAUUGGGCGUAAAGAGCUCGUAGGCGGCUUGUUGCGUCGACCGUGAAAACCCGUGGCUCAACUGCGGGCGUGCGGGCGAUACGGGCAGACUGGAGUACUGCAGGGGAGACUGGAAUUCCUGGUGUAGCGGUGGAAUGCGCAGAUAUCAGGAGGAACACCGGUGGCGAAGGCGGGUCUCUGGGCAGUAACUGACGCUGAGGAGCGAAAGCGUGGGGAGCGAACAGG